ACAUGAUGACCGUUUUAUCAGAAACCAUUGCUUCUCUCUGUCCUGUGGUGGAAGGUGAUAGAAACCAUUGCUUCUCUCUGUCCUGUGGUGGAAGGUGAUAGAAACCAUUGCUUCUCUCUGUCCUGUGGUGGAAGGUGAUAGAAACCAUUGCUUCUCUCUGUCCUGUGGUGGAAGGUGAUAGAAACCAUUGCUUCUCUCUGUCCUGUGGUGGAAGGUGAUAGAAACCAUUGCUUCUCUCUGUCCUGUGGUGGAAGGUGACAGAAACCAUUGCUUCUCUCUGUCCUGUGGUGGAAGGUGAUAGAAACCAUUGCUUCUCUCUGUCCUGUGGUGGAAGGUGAUAGAAACCAUUGCUUCUCUCUGUCCUGUGGUGGAAGGUGAUAGAAACCAUUGCUUCUCUCUGUCCUGUGGUGGAAGGUGAUAGAAACCAUUGCUUCUCUCUGUCCUGUGGUGGAAGGUGAUAGAAACCAUUGCUUCUCUCUGUCCUGUGGUGGAAGGUGACAGAAACCAUUGCUUCUCUCUGUCCUAUGGUGGAAGGUGAUAGAAACCAUUGCUUCUCUCUGUCCUAUGGUGGAAGGUGAUAGAAACCAUUGCUUCUCUCUGUCCUGUGGUGGAAGGUGACAGAAACCAUUGCUUCUCUCUGUCCUGUGGUGGAAGGUGAUAGAAACCAUUGCUUCUCUCUGUCCUAUGGUGGAAGGUGAUAGAAACCAUUGCUUCUCUCUGUCCUAU